UACAGAGGUCUCAAGCGUUUGUUCGGAUUCAUUGGGCGUAAAGGGUGCGUAGGUGGCGCCGUAAGUCAGGUGUGAAAUUUCGGAGCUUAACUCCGAAACUGCAUUUGAUACUGCGGUGCUUGAGGACUGGAGAGGAGACUGGAAUUUACGGUGUAGCAGUGAAAUGCGUAGAGAUCGUAAGGAAGACCAGUGGCGAAGGCGGGGUCUCUGGACAGUUCCUGACACUGAGGCACGAAGGCCAGGGGAGCAAACGGG
rnacentral:rRNA from 1 species